UACGUAGGGUGCAAGCGUUAAUCGGAAUUACUGGGCGUAAAGCGUGCGCAGGCGGUGAUGUAAGACAGAUGUGAAAUCCCCGGGCUCAACCUGGGAACUGCAUUUGUGACUGCAUCGCUGGAGUGCGGCAGAGGGGGAUGGAAUUCCACGUGUAGCAGUGAAAUGCGUAGAGAUGUGGAGGAAUACCGAUGGCGAAGGCAGCCCCUGGGCCAAUACUGACGCUCAUGCACGAAGCGUGGGAGAACAAGAUGAU
rnacentral:rRNA from 1 species